AGAUUAAGUUAUUAAGGGCGCACGGUGGAUGCCUUGGCACUAGAAGCCGAUGAAGGACGUUACUAACGACGAUAUGCUUUGGGGAGCUGUAAGUAAGCUUUGAUCCAGAGAUUUCCGAAUGGGGAAACCCAGCAUGAGUUAUGUCAUGUUAUCGAUAUGUGAAUACAUAGCAUAUCAGAAGGCACACCCGGAGAACUGAAACAUCUUAGUACCCGGAGGAAGAGAAAGAAAAUUCGAUUCCCUUAGUAGCGGCGAGCGAAACGGGAAGAGCCCAAACCAAAAAGCUUGCUUGUUGGGGUUGUAGGACACUCUAUACGGAGUUACAAAGGACGACAUUAGACGAAUCAUCUGGAAAGAUGAAUCAAAGAAGGUAAUAAUCCUGUAGUCGAAAAUGUUGUCUCUCUUGAGUGGAUCCUGAGUACGACGGAGCACGUGAAAUUCCGUCGGAAUCUGGGAGGACCAUCUCCUAAGGCUAAAUACUCUCUAGUGACCGAUAGUGAACCAGUACCGUGAGGGAAAGGUGAAAAGCACCCCGGAAGGGGAGUGAAAUAGAACCUGAAACCGUGUGCUUACAAGUAGUCAGAGCCCGUUAAUGGGUGAUGGCGUGCCUUUUGUAGAAUGAACAGGAGAGUGAAGAGGGGAGGAGAGUGUCAUCAGUAAAUGUUGAGCCGUAGCGAAAGCGAGUCUGAAUAGGGCGUUUAGUAUUUGGUCGUAGACCCGAAACCAGGUGAUCU
rnacentral:rRNA from 1 species